GGUACCUUGGCAGAGUGGCUAUUGUGCCUGGUUGAAGUCCAGGUUCCUUCGGGAGCGCGAGUUCGAAUCUUGCAGGUACCG